rnacentral:lncRNA from 1 species
AACUUCUAAACUUUCCUACAACAAUUCUUUGAAUUUGCACACACAGCUUAAUUGAACUUUUCAACAUUGGAUCCCCUAAUUAUACAUAACAGUCAGUUUAUACGAACUAGUUCUCCUUGGACUGAUGUCCGCGUUCCACUUGGACGGCUGCUAGUCACCAUGAUGGACGAGCUAGUGGCCAAGUGCGGCCAAAGCCACCGGGGGACUGUAGGUGCUUGUGCUUAUUCUCAGCUGCGAAUUCACACAAGGUGGAGGUGAUUAGGGGAAGCAUGGUUCAUGGGUGACCUUCAUCUUGAUGCCGGAUACGGGCGCUCGCGCUCAUGGACGUUGUCGACCGGACUUGAGGUAGCACCACUCGUGGACGGAGAUCAAUAGAGCUGACAUGCACUACAACCCAAUCCAAACCUGUCAUAUAACAAGGAACAAAUAAUUUAUAUUUUGUUAAUUUUUGAAGGCAUCUGUACAACAAAUUAGAACUUCAGAGAGGUAUUUUUUCAUACAAACUGUGUCCAUGCUAUAGGUUUGAAUAAAUUGAGAGAGAGAUAGUAUUAUGUACUAAAUUCAUGUGGAGAGCAGAGCAACUGCACGUCUAGGAUGGGCUGCCCCGGAGCAAAGCUCGCUCUCCCGUUGUUGGAUGACUUAACUUGGAUGGCACCCAGUGCUCGACCUGGAUGGCGCCCAGCGCUCGACUUGGACGGAGGAGUUGCUACGCUCGGGAGGUUCCUCGCGUGUACGGUUCACCUUGUUGGGCUGCCAAAAUAGACACAAAAAAUCACAUCGGAGCAAAUCAUCAUAAACCUUUUUACAAAACUGCUUGCCAAAUCCUGGUUUAGUGAAUUUACUAUAUAAUCUACUGCCGAACUGUUUAUUUAACACAAAUAGAACUUUUUUGUAAUACACACUGAUAUAGCAUACAACAUAUUCAUAACAUCACUUCUCCUAACUGCAUUAUGAUCUAUCCAUUCAAGAGAGUUUGAACUUGCUAGCAUCAUCUCCUAACUGCAGCCAUCCCAUUAACUUUUACAAAACAAUUCUCAAUAUGGAGCAAAUAACAACAGGAAGGAGGCCUCCACCAUGCACAUACAACAUCAACAUGCUAGUUUGCUAGAACAAGUUGAACUGAAUAUCUUUCAUUUUGAUCUUUGAAAGAAGCUACAACUUCUGUUGCCCAAAUGUGUAUAUGAUUUCAUGUUUUCUAAGCACAUACCUUCUGUUCUUGUUUGUUGACGGGCACGCCGCCCCUACUUCUGUGGACUGACGGCGCCGACGAAGUGGAGCUGAAGGAGUGAGGAUCACGAGCAACCUAUGGACUGAAACUCACAGUGAAUGGUUCGACACCAACGACAUCUUUGGAAGGGCAAUGACAGUCAACAUCUUAUAGCCCCCUAUUUUGAUAAAAUAGCUCAACUUAUUAGCAAUAAAUAGCUGAUAUGAUGGAGUAAAUAGUAAGACAGUUUUGGAUUUCCUGCACUCCAUCAAUUGAUUGAAAACAGAGUAGGUUCUUUUUAGCAAGUCAAGAUUCGGAAACUAAAUCAAUCAAAGCACAUAGAUGUAAUCCUCCACAGCCAUCAUCAAACUAUGCAAUUUCUUCAGAAAUUAGAACAAAUAGAGGACAACCGAGUGACGAGCAGAGAGCCUCCUUACAGUGAAGAAAUAGGGGUUGACGGGGAUGGCGGUGGACAUCCAGAACUAGAGGAUCCUGAAGGACUCAAAGUUUAUUAUUAGUGCAUUAUAGUAAUCCUAAUCAGUUGGUCUUUUUAGUACUCCGCAAGGUGCCACAUCUGUACUAACUAUAGUGAUGUUUUUGUACUGCCCAAAAACACACCUGCAAGAUGAACCGAAGGGGAGCUCCAUCAUUUGCAAGAUG